rnacentral:misc_RNA from 1 species
UACGUACUGGGCGAACGUUAUUCGGAAUCACUGGGCUUAAAGGGUGCGUAGGCGGCUAUUCAGGUCUGGUGUGAAAUCUUACGGCUCAACCGUAAAAUUGCGCUGGAAACCGGAUGGCUUGAGUAAGCUAGGGGUCUGUGGAACUUCCGGUGGAGCGGUGAAAUGUGUUGAUAUCGGAAGGAACGCCGGUGGCGAAAGCGACAGACUGGGGCUUAACUGACGCUGAGGCACGAAAGCUAGGGUAGCGAACGGG